rnacentral:tRNA from 1 species
GGGGAUUUAGCUCAGAGGUAGAGCGCUUGUCUAGCAAGCACAAGGCCCUGGGUUCGGUCCCCAGCUCCG